GCUGCCUUGCACUUAGGGAAGGUUCACAUGCCUCAAGGAUCUCUCUCUCAGAUUUCUUGACUUUCCCUCAGUCUUCAGUAUAGUCCUCUUCUGUGCCUGAUGAAGACCUGUGGUAAAGUGCUGGCAGAGCUGCUGGCUUCCCCUUGAAGGAAUAGGAGUAGACCUGCUAAACUAUCACAUGAGAGAAGAGGCCCAAAAGCUUGCAUACUGCAGUCAAGCUGGCCUUUAAAGAGAUGGACCUAGAAGAUGCUGAGCCAGAUGUACUCAGUUACUUCUCCCAAAUUCAUCAAUUAGGAAUACAACAUGUUUAAGACCACAGGACAUCUGCAUAGGCUGUAAAUUUCGUUAAAUGAUGGAUGCAAAGAUGGAAGACAGAUGGAGAGAGGAAAAGACAGAAUCAGAUACUGGAUGAGUUAGUACUGCUGCCUGUGCUUCAGAGCUGUCUUGUUACCACAAGGCCGGCAAGCAUCAAUGUCCCCACAUCCCCCUCUGCCUCCCCCUGAAAUGUACCGAUUUAUAUGAAAAUUAAGAU
rnacentral:antisense_RNA from 1 species